GCGGACGUAAUUCAGUGGUAGAAUGUUAGCUUCCCAAGCUAAACGUCGUGGGUUCGAGUCCCAUCGUCCGCU
rnacentral:tRNA from 2 species